CAGAGAUAAAAGACACCCUGACUUCAUUUCAUAUGAUGCUAGCCACUGAGAACUGGGCUGAAUCUAAGCUUAUCAACCUUCCUUCUAGUUACAGAGAUGGAAAGGGAAUAUGACCAUCACUCAUGUGGAAGUUGAGCCAUUAGAAGAAAGUCCACACAUCUUAUCUGCCAGUAAAAACCUAGUCUCACCAGAUGUCUCUUCAUUCAAGCAAGGUAAAUAGUAAAAUAAAUAUAUGAAGACUAUGAAAAAAAUGCUGCAGCACAAGAAAAGGUAAUUUUGUCCCGACAUAUCGGAAAGAAAAACAUCUACCUCAAAAGUGAUUUAAGGCCGGGCGCAGUGGCUCACGCCUGUAAUCCCAGCACUUUGGGAGGCUGAGGUGGGCAGAUCACUUGAGGUCAGGAGUUUGAGAACAGACUGGCCAACAUGGUGAAACCCCAUCUCUAAUAAAAAUACAAAAAUUAGUCAGGUGUGGUGCUGCACGCCUGUAAUCUGAACCUGGGAGGCAGAGGCUGCAGUGAGCCUAGGUUGUACCACUGCAUUCCAGCCUGGGUGACAGAGCAAAACCCUGUUGGGGGGAAAAAAAGUGAUUUCGCACAGAAAACUGAAGAAAUUAUUUCAAAAGCUGUUCCAUAUCAUCAAUAAAAUGCUGAGGAAUCAAUUACUCUGAGAUGGAAGAGAAGUUAAUAGAGUACACAAAGAAAGGAGAUUCUACCUAAGAAUGACAGCUGCUCCCGAGGAAGAAAACAUGAGUUGGAACAGAAAAAGAAUCAAAAGCAAAUACUUUCUUGUAUUGAAAAACCACAAACAAAACAAAACAAUGACCUGAGUGUGCAUAUAAAGUUUCCCUAUGUCCUUUAUAAACUUAAUGGAAAAGUAUCUGUUUCUAGUCACUUUCUCACAAUAUUUUAAAUUAUAAAAUGUUGGGGAAAAGUUCUUCAAGGUUCUCCUUAAAGAAACCAAAUUAACCCAAAUAAGUAUUUGUUUAGUUAUGUAAAAACAACUAAAGAACUUGUUUACGAAAGGUUCAAAAAGAUGUGUUUCCUUAUUGAAAAAAGUUACUUGAUCAUUUGGACUAUUGAGCAAACAACAGCUAAUAUUAAUUGUGUACUCACUGAGUAUUAGACAUCUUCUAAACUUCAAAUUACUUAAUCUUCCAAUACACUCUGAAACAGGUACUAUUUAGUACCCCAUUUGACAGAUGAGAAAAUUAAGUCAUAGGGAAAUACACAUGACUGCAGGGGCAGGGUUUAUAUAUCGCAUGAAAAUGAAAAAGUUUGAGAAAGCCUAUAAAAAGUUCAGUCAUUGUGUACACUGUUAAAGGUCUUGGUUACUUGGAUUUCUCCUUAAUUUCCCUGCUUGAUUCUUCUUUAUACACAAAAUUAUAACAGCAGUCUCUUCUUCAUAAUAUAGAGCUUCUGGUGAGAACCUUGGAAUCUUAAAACUGUAUGUUAUUUUUCAUAUUACCUGGUGAGAUAAGUGUUAUCUUUAUUAAAGCUACGAAAUCUAGGAAUUUUUAUUGUUGUUAAUAAGAUUAUUUUUAUUCGUUAAGACACCAUCAAAACAAAAAAAAGUCAGUACAAUUCUAAAGCACAAUAACUUGCUCUCUUUCAAAAGUAUAAGAGCUCUACAAUUAAUAAAAUGAAUGUAUCUGCAUUCUGCUUUUCAACAGUCAAAAACAAUACAACCUGAAAAAGAGUGGUCCAUUUAUCUAAACAUCUCAAAUUAAAACUUUCAACACCACUAAAUGAUAUAGCUUCUACACACCUUUCUGUUUUCCUUUUUCUUUUUUUAAUUUUUAAUUUUGUGGGUACAUAAUAAGUGUAUAUAUUUAUGAGGUACAUGAGAUAUGUUGAUACAGGCAUACAAUGCUUAAUAAUCACAUUAUUAUAUAUAAUAGAGAAAAUGGGGUUUCCAUGACCUGAAGCAUUUAUCCUUUCUCAGUGUUACGGAAAUAAUCCAAUUUUACUCUUAGUUAUUUUAAAAUGUACAAUAAAAUACUGUCAAUUGUAAUCACCUUUCUAAAUACACAAGUAGUUUCAUUUUCAACAUUGCUCUUCUUUAAUCUAAAAAUUACUCAUGACAAAUUUUAAGUAGCACAUUCAAAUGACCAUAACUAAAUAAUUGUAAGUCAAUCGUGAAAUUAUAAUAGGGUAAGUAAUGACUAUGUAAGUUAUUUUUAUAAAAAAAUUCUUUCUUCUUUACCGACUCCAUUCCAAAUCAAGCAAAAAAUGUUAGUAUAUUAAAUCAAGUACCAGUAGAGAAAAUAUUAUAUGCAAAGGAUUAUUCGAGGCACUGUGGUAGUUAAAAUAUAAAUUCCAAUAUUCUAGGAAUGUGCAAUCAGGAAGUGAAGCAAAAUAUACUACUUUACAUUUUUAUUUAAUAAAAUCUAAAUGUGCAGACACUAUGGUGCUAGAAAAUUCAGAUGGGAAAUAAAAUAAAAUAUACUUCCUCUUCUGAGUUCAUCCCUUUGGUGACCCCAGCUGACACCCAACCUCUCCCCGGCAACCUGCAUCCCACAUUUUUUUGCUUGGUUAACUCUAUUCACUCUUUAGGUCUCAGCACAAAUGUCAUCUCCCUGAUCUACCCUGCUAGGAUAAUUCCCUAUUCUCACCCCUUUUCUAAUAUGCUCUCCUAACAUGUUAUCCUUGUCUCUCAUAGCACAUAUAAUAAAGCAAUUAGACUAAUUGCUGUUUCUUGUUUGCCUCCUCAAUUAGAAGGUAAGUUCCCGAGGUAUAGGACUAGGUUUGCCUUACUUACCACCAUGCCCCAAGGCAUGGCACAUGGAAAGCACUUAACGAAUAUUUGUGCACUCAAGGCCUGGCACAUAGAAAGCGCUUAAAAAUAUUUGGGAAAUUAGUAAAUAGGUGCAUGAGUUGGGGGUAGGCAGAUGGCUAUCUGUAAUUUAGACCUAGGAAUUAAAACUGUGAGAGGAGAGGAGGUAAAACUGAAAUUUGCUGAGGAGGGUGAGAGCAAGGAGCAGUGAAGUCCAGUCACCAGAUCCAAUCAUUCCGUGCUUAGGAAUAAGGAAAUGGUUUAGCAAAGUAGAAUGUAAGCAAAAUAUCACAGACUAAAUUUUACUAGAGAUAAAAUUCACCAGAAAAUUGUAAAUUUUUAUUAAAAAUUACAAUUAACAAAGUCAAUCUAAAUAACAUAAUUCCUUUGUUCAAAAACACAUAUGGCUUCCCAGUACAGAACUGACAGUGAUACAGGCUGAGUGGCCCUUAUCCAAAAUGGUUGUGACCAGAAGUAUUUUAGAUUUUGAAUUUUUUAAGAUUUUGUAAUAUUUGCAUUAUAUAUACUUACCGGUUGAGCAUUCCUAAUCAGAAAAUGCAAAAUGCAAUAUACUCCAAUGAGAAUUUCCUUUGAGCUUCAUGUUGACACUCAAAAAGUUUCAGAUUUUGGAGCAUUUCAGAUGUAAUACAAAUCAUUGGUCUAACAUUAAAAAAACUUCUCUGCUUCCAUGUCCUCUGUUACAGAUUCUUCAUAUAGUCUAUAAGCUCCAUUUCCAAUAGCAUUCUGUAAUACACUAACAGGGCUAGAGUUUUAGAGAACAAUGACUUUUACCUAGAAGUAACUCCUACCAAGUAGCCCUGUGUUGACUUUAUGUGUCCAAAGACUACCAUGAUGCUUGACACUUUAUAGGUCCUAAAUAAUGGAAACAUGUUUGACUUUAAAUCUUCUCAACCAUUUGCUAUGGGAUCACGACUAAUUUAUGUAACUUCUCUGUGACUCAGAUAAUUUGUCUGAAAGGUAGGUACUGUCAGUUGUCUUAUGAGGUGUUUUGUACAUAGCAUAUCCUCAAAAAUGAGCUGCUUCUUUUCUCAUUCUUCCUCCUGGGGGAUUCUUUAUUGCUCUUUGAAAAACAUGACAAAAUUUAACAGUUAAAUCAAUCCUCCUGUAGAAAUCACAAAAAGGAGAGGUUUGUCCCUGUUGGUUGAUGACAGUAACUAAUUAAUGUUAUCUUCACAAAGUGUAUUUUGAAAGACUCGUUUCACACUCAUAUAAAAAUGAGCUUCCAAGAUAUAAAAUCAAUCAUCCAAUCCCAGACUGCAAAGGCAGAUGCAGUUGUGCCAAGUUGAGAAAACAAAGCUUUAUAGAUUUCAAUUCCUGUUGCUUCUCUUAAGUUAUUUACUUACUUGAAUCCCUCUUUAGUAAGAAGCCUAACAGUGAAAAAGAUAACAAAAAUAAACUCUCCAGGGAUACAAAAACCCAAGCAACUGGGUUUUACUAACAAGCACAGGACAUUAAUAAUAAAGAAUAAAGCUGAUGAUCAGUCUUUGUUUAAAUCUUUAUACAAACAAUGGGUCAUUUACUCCAAAUUCCAGUGCCCUAAAACAGGAUUUAUGGACAUUUUCUGGCUACUAAAUAGAAAGUGCAGAUUUUUACUGUUUUCAUUUCAAAUGAUAACAUACUAUUGUUCCUUUCCUGAAAUAAACAUAGUUCUUUCAAAGCCCCCAGGAACCUACAAAGUAAAAUUGUCAAUUACUUUUCUGAUCAUAUAUUAAUUACCAGGGUGACUUUCAAGGAUACAACUUUCUGUUGCUGAGCUAAAUAAAGUUUUUGUUCUCUGAACAGAAAAUCAGACCAACCACAACAUUCUCUUAAGCCAAAAUCUAAUCCACAGAAAGCCCUUUUUUCAAUUCUAUGAAGGGUGAGAGAGGUGAGUAAGCUGCAGAAAAGCUGGAAGCCAGCAGACGUUGGUUCAUGAGGUUCAAGAAAAGAAGCUGUCUCCAUAACAAAAAAGGACAAAGUGAAGCUGUGGCAAGCUAUCCAGAAGAUAAGCUAAGCUGACAGAUGAAGGUGGCUACACUAAACAACGGAUCGUCGAUGUAGGUGAAACAGUCUUCAGUUGGAAGAAGGUGUCAUCUAGAACUUUCAUAGCUAGUGAGGAAAAGUCAAAGGCUAGCUUCAAAGAACCAUUGGACAAGUAGACUCUCUUGUUAGGGACUAACACCAUUGGUGAAUUGAAGUUAAAAUCAAUGCUCAUUUACCUUUCUGAAAAUACUAGAUCCUUUAAGAAUUAUGUUAAAUCUCUGCUUGUGUUCUAGAAAUAGAACAACAAAGCCUGGGUGACAGUAUAUCUAUUUUUACAGCAUGGUUUACUGAAGAUUUUAAACCCACUACUCAGAAAGAAAAAAAGAUUCCUUUCAAAAUAUUACUGCUCAUUGAUAACGCACCUGGUCACCCAAAAGUUCUGAUGCAGAUGUACAAGGAUAUUAAUGCUGUUUUCAUGCCUGCUAACACAACAACCAUUCUGAAGCCCAUGAAUCAAGAAGUAAUUUGAAGUUUCAAGUCUUAUUAUUUAAGGAAUCCAUUUAUUUAGGGUAUAGCUGUCCAGAGAUAGUGAUUCCUCAGAUGGAUCUCAAAAGUUGUUUCCACUCUCAUGGAUGACACUGAGGGGUUCAACAGUGCAGUGGAAGAUGUGGUGGAAAUAAAAAGAGAUGUGAAAAUAGCAAGAGAAAGAAAUUUAGAAGUGGAGCCUGAAGACGUAAGUGAAUUGCUGCAAAAUUAUAAUAAAACCUGAAUGGAUGAGGAGUUGUGAGGAGUUGUUUUUAUGGAUGAGCAAAGAAAGUGAUUUCUGGAGAUGGAAUCUGCUCCUGAUGGAGGUGUUCUGUUAUACUGUUAAAAUGACAACACAGGAUUUGAGUAUUACAUAAAGUUAGUUGAUAAAGCAACAACAGGUAUUGAGAGUGUUGAUUCCAAUUUUGAAAAAAGUUUUACUAUAGGUGAAAUGUUGUAAAAUGGCAUGACAUGCUACAGAGAAAUGUUUUGUGAAAAGAAGAGUCAAUUGAUGCAGCAAACUUCAUUGUUGUCUUCGUUUAGGAAACUGCCACAGCCGCCCCAAAUUUCUGCAACCACCACUUUGAACAGUCAGCAGCCAUUAACAUUGAGGCAAAACCCUCUAACAGCAAAAAGGUUACUACUUGCUAAAGGCUUAGAUGAUUGUUAAGACUUUUUGCAAUAAAGUGUUUUUUUUUACUUAAGGCUAGUGACUGUUCUAAACAGAAUCAUAAGAUCUGACUGUGACCAAUAAUGGAGAACUUGCACUUGCAAAGAAAUGGUUGUGGAGAAGCUUCCCAUUUCUAUAUCUGGACACAACUAUGUGAGGAGGUGAUGCUGGAACAGGCCUACUGUCUGAAGUUCACAGGCUGAGGAUGACAGGAAAAAAUAAAAGAUUUAACUAACCUGGUGAUGAUGCCACUGAGCCCUUGAAUUAACCCUGAAACUGUGCUAACUAUAGACAUCUUAUUAUAUGAGACAAUAAACAAUAUUUAAG
rnacentral:lncRNA from 1 species